CCUCAAUCCUCAGUCCUCCCUGCUUCCUCUUUCCCUUUCCCUACUAUUUCCUUUCUUUUUUGUUCCUUUUUACUUUUGUUCUUUGGGAUUCUCUCCGACCUUGCUCUCCUCAGAAAUCACUUCUCAAUCUCUUCCCAAAAAUCUCUUCUCACGAAAUUUAUGGGCGAGGAGAGAGACAAGAAGAAUCAGAGAUAUUCAUCAGGUAUCAUCCAUGGGAGACGAAAGGGUCAAAACAGAAGCAUGGCAAGAUAUAAAAUUUCCAAGUUCUUCCCAAAUUGGUUGUCUUUGAUCUCGAUUAUACUAUCUGACCUUUCUACUGACUUCACAAUAGGCUGAAGAUGCAUUGUCUCAGAAUGGAGCAACAACAACAGUCACUGGCAGAAGCUUUGUCGAGUGGUUCUCUUGGUUCAUCGGGUUCUUAUAGAAAUGUUGCACAUGAUAUGGGUCAAAUGGCUAAAGCUCGAUACGCUCGAAGGGUUUAUUUGCCAGGUAAAUUUCUAUUCAAGUUGGAAUUUUAUGUUUUGCUUAUAGUAGUACGGAGUAGUUAUUUAUUGCAAAUUGAACUGUCCAAAUCAACCUUUUCCCGCGGUGUGUGGUAUGUGGUGUUGUAUAUGUUGAAUGAAGGGUGGAGGGCGUUGGGAGAGCUAAAAUAUUUUAUUGGAGGCGCCUAUAAAAUGCCGAUUUCUGAACAAUAUAAUUGUCGUUUAAAUAAGUUAUACGGAGUAUAAGUGACGAGGAGAUGAAUAUUAUAAAGAUUAAUAACAAGUAGGUUUCUAAUUUUCUCAUAAGAAAUAUGGUUGGAGGUUUUAUUACUAUAAAAAACAUGUAGAAAGGCCGAAAUCUAAACAAAGUAAAUUAUUAGAAAAUGAAAUACUAACCGUUGUGAGAAAAGUAGAAAAUCUCUUGUUUAAUAGGAAAAUAACUUAAAUACGCGAAAUGCAUACUAUCCUGCUAAUCCGAUUCUUAGCCUACCUCAAAUAUUCCUUGACAUUAUUCCUUUCUUGAGCUAACUUAUUGACCUUGCACCCGGUUUUCCUUUCUUGAGUUAAAUCACUGACCUUGCACCCGGUUUGAUUAAGAGGCUAAGAAAUGUAGCUAAUUCAACGUUGGUUGACCAUAUGUUGUUGAUUUUUUCCUUGAAAACGCCAUGGGAAGGACCGCAGGAGGGAGUGACGGAAAUCUAUACUCACUUUCCAUGAUAAUGCACCAAAAUUCUUAUUCAAGUUUCAAUACUGUUGAUUUCUGUAUCAACUUGAGUAUCUUAAAAUCACAGUGCUUGUAAGGAUUUGCAGCUUACUGGUCAGUUGCUAGAAAAUUCUGUUUAUCUGAAUUACUCGUGAAGAUUGAUUAACGCUAUAGUAACCGUGAACUAAAUACCUGUAUAGUUAUGAGAUGUUCAACUUAAAUUAUCUCCAAUGCGUAGAUUUGUUGGCAAGCUUAUUUGACAUAGAAAUUGCAUUUACAUGAGAUUCACUAUAUUUUUACGACUUCAUUGAAUGUUAUUGCUACUGCCUCGCUGGAACUUUAGUUCAUAUUUAGAAGUUGCUGGAUAUGAGGUUAUCCGAGUCAUGGAAUCAUCGCUGACUCACUACUUCAACAACUACUUUGCCUUUUAUAAUAAACAAUGAAGCAGAGAAUAGUUAUACUGAGUCUCCAAAGACCAGGGAUAACCCUGUGACAGACAAUGCAAACAAAGUUGGUUGUUUCAGCAACCCAUGGAUGAUGGUAAUCAAGAAUUAUGCAAGAGAAUAAGAGUAUUUCGGAAAACGUUGCAACAGGUUCAGGUUCUUGAGGUGAAACAAUCCAAGGGGCAUGUUCUAUAUCUUGACGACCAGUAGAUUGCAAAGAUGUAAACAAAACUUGCUUCAGAGACUUCACUUGAAGAGCUGGAUGUUCCAGCUCAGACAACAAUUUCAAAGCCAUCACCCUUAGUGCGGAGAUGAAAAAAAUCAUAGGAGGAAUAAUGAGGGGAAGGUAAUCUUUCUGAUUCAUCCUUUAUGAAUAUGUGCUCUUUGCUGGUAAAUGGAGAUAUACCUUCUAUAGUGUCUGUCACGAGAUUUAUUUCUAAUAAGUGGAACAAUGUGAAAUUUUUGGCUUUUAGAAAUCUUUGCGGGGUAAACCUUAUGUUUAUCUACAUGAUUUUUAUUUUUUCAUGAGGUUUUAAUGACAAUAAUGAGUAUGUUGGACCUCAUUAUUUUAAUGGAAGACCAAUGAUUGUUAAAGGAGUAAUCAACCAAUUUGUACUGCCAUGACGAGGUGUUGAGGGUUAUUGUUCUAUGGAUAAGACUAGCUUCCAAACUUGCAUUUAAAUGGCUGGAAUGUAGAUUCACUAAGCCCGAGACCUUUAAUUGCAGAUAACUGCACAUCAACGCAAAUGAAUUUGUCUUUCUAGUAUGUUGAUUUAGAUGAACAAGCUUAUGAUUCGUCUCCACCAUUUUUCUAGCAAUGUCCCAUAAUGGGCCACGUUUUCCAGGUUGCAAAAGGCUUCAGAUUGAAGUUUUUAUAUCUUGUACUACCGACUUUUCAACUAUGAGUUUUUUUUUAUUGACGACAUGACCUAAGUAUCAUUUGUAUUCAUAUUUAUCCCCAACUUCAUGUUUGGUCAAUGACAAUAUGUUUACGUUUUCCAUAAAGUUAGACCGGUCUUUUACGUAAGCAUGUUUACUAUGACAUAUUUUUAUACAUUAGCGCACGGGCCAACAACUAGUUUUUUUCAAAAUGCCAAAAUAUUUUUGAUCAAUUCUUUCUAAUUUGGAUGAUGUUUAAUUUGCACUAUUUAGACAUCAGUCGAGGCUUGAUGUGUCAUGUUUUUUUAGAAUUUUUUUGAUACAAACAAUACAAAUUCUUAGUUGCAUCAUAUAGAUGUGCCCUAUCUGUAACAACGAUUAAUUAUGAUAAUCAUACUCUACACCCUCAUAGACUAUUUUUUUUUUGGACACAGGAUUAAUAAAAACAACAAAAAAAGAAACUAAUUAGGCUCCAAAGGGUGCAUCGCAAAAUUGACGUUGUUCUCUACCCCUGGUUUAAACACAAGGAAGCUUGAUGGAAGUGAGGUCGCUCCACUUUAUAGUUGACACAUCUGUAGAACUAUUUACCUAGAUGGAGAAUUUUAGAAAGCGUCCACGUCUGGCGGAUAUCAGAACUCCCCCCUUGCCGCAAAUAGGAUGAGACCGACAUGGCGACAUGCGUUAAUAGAAAGUGACAAAGCACAAUUCAUUCCAUAUCAACAAGCAAAAGCCUCAUCAUGUGCUGCAGAAAGUGUCACAUACACAACCAUGGUUGUUAAAAUCGUGAUUCUAAACAUGGUCUUACGAUUCGAUUUACGAUUCUACAUGAUUCUACACUUUUUCUUGACUGAUUAAAUCCUUGUAAAUUUGAAACAUGACGAAAAAGCUACUAAUAGAUAAAUAUUGUUAAUAUUUCUUAUUAGCUAGUAAACAAAUAUAUAUUUCAAUUAUUAAGUUUUUCACCUAUAAUAUAAGCACUUUAAUAAAAUUGAAAAUAAAAUCUUGAUUAUACUUGUUUGUAGAAGAUUCUACGAUUCGACUUUACGAUUCGAUUCUAAGAGUCCCUUCUGAUUCAAAGUAGAAUCCCGAUUUUGACAACCUUGCUCACAACACCACCUCCGAAAUCAUAUUCCAUAUUCUCCACAGCCAAUGGAAUUGCCCAUCCCAUUCCUGCCCUUUGACAAGCUUUCUUCCAUGUUGUUUGGGCUUUUGCUAGGUGAGGAUGAUUCAGACUUCCACCCCCUUCCCCUCUUCUAUCCCUUUGGCUAGGGGAGGGUGAUACGUACUUCCAUUUCCUUAGUUCAAAGUUCAAACUA